ACAUUUCAAUCAGAGCCUGUCAAUCUAGAACCUGAAAAAUGUGAAUGAUGGCAAUGGCUAGACUGGGACAAUUUUGUGCACGCUAACAAAUGUUUUCGACCCCUUGAGUUGGUGAUUACUCAGGGUUACAAUCCCUUUCAUCCACCAAGAACUAUUGCAUGAUGGUAUGAAGAUGGAAAGGACACUUAGUCUUGAGAAAUGUACAGCAUCUUCCACGGAACAUGAUGAAAGACUUGUUGACUUACGUUACAAAGAACAACGAACAUUAUCUUAAAAAAACAGAGAAACUAAGUGUAAUAUAAAUUAUUAUAUCAGAAACAUACAUAAUACCAUAACAGAAUACAUCUCUUUUUAUAUAUAGAAUUGAAUAAACAUAUUUGUUUGUGUAUUAUUAGAUAAAAUAAAAUGUUUAAUCUAGUUCGAA